rnacentral:rRNA from 1 species
UACAGAGGUCCCAAGCGUUGUUCGGAUUCACUGGGCGUAAAGGGUGCGUAGGCGGUCGGGUAAGUCUGAUGUGAAAUCUCACAGCUUAACAUGUGAAACUGCAUUGGAUACUAUCCGGCUCGAGGAAUGGAGGGGAGACUGGAAUACUUGGUGUAGCAGUGAAAUGCGUAGAUAUCAAGUGGAACACCAGUGGCGAAGGCGAGUCUCUGGACAUUUCCUGACGCUGAGGCACGAAAGCCAGGGGAGCAAACGGG